GAUCACCAAGAACAUAAAAAUUAUAUAUUAUAAUCUAAUCAAUAUGUCUUUUUCUUCCAUUUUCUUUUUACAAUAUGGAUAGAUAGGUCAAUGUAAACUAUUAAUAAUAUACAAAUAUUUAUAUGUAUAUUGUUGUUCAGUAGUUUUUCAGUCAUGUCCAGCUCUUUGUGACCCCAUUCUUGGCAAAGACAUUGGAGUUGCUUGCUAUUUCCUUCUCUGGGUCACUUUACAGAUGAGGAACUAAGGCAAACAUGCUCAAGUGACUUGCCCAGGGUCACAUAGCUAGCAAGUGGUUCACUUGCUAGAGAUCACUCCUUAAGGUCAGAGAUGGUUUCAUUUUUAUCUCUCUACCUUUUAUCCACAUUGCCUAACACAGUGGUUUGCAUACAGUAAAUGCUGAAUAAAACUUUAUUGCAUUCUUUUAUUGAACCAAGGAGAAAUUUCAAAGCUAUAUUUUAUUCUACAGUCAAUUUUUUUUAAUUUAACAAAGAAUAGUCACAGAAUGAUCUUAUGUUCUUUAUACUUUUUAGUCAAUUCAGUUGUCAACUGACUGUGGUCUAACGUAGAAACUGGCUACAAAAUUCUAUCUUUUCAUAUUUUUUCAUUCCCUUUUCAUAUUUUUGUUAAAGAGACUCUGAAUGCAUCUUCUCCUGGGAUUUUGUAGAAAUAAGAUCAUCUGGGUCAAUAUUUGUUGAAAUCUCCUUAGUUGUCCCUUUUUUAAGAAGCAUUAUCAAUUAUUUUGAUCCAUGCUUUUAGAAUCUUCUCAGAUACUUAAGUAGGUUAAAUAUUUAAUGGUGUCAAAAGCACCUAGAAGAUGGUUCUAGGUCAGUUGCAUUAUAAAUAUAGUAAUACAAUAAACUUAACAAAUAACUAUUUUGUAUACCAGAUCUAGAAGUUAGCAUGGAAUGGUUGGUUAAAUUAGGUGUUAAUUCAAGAAAUUUCUUUUUCCAAAGUUACUAAUGAUUUCUUAGUUGCUAAAUCUACUGGGUUUUUUUCUCAGUCAUCAGUCUCCUUGACCUCUUUGCAGCCUUGGACACUGCUGAUCACUCUCUCCUAUCUGAUACUCUCUCCUAGCUCUUCAGGAUGCCACUCUCUCCUGGUUUACCUCUCACCUAUCUGACUGUUCCUGUCUCCUUUGCUGGAUCUCCUUCUAGAUCAUGCUCUCUAACCAUAUGUCUCUCCCAGGGUUCUGUCCCUGGACCCUCUUCUCUUCUAUACAGCUUCACUUGGUGAUCUCAUCAGCUCCGUUGGAUUUCAUUACUUUCUCUACGUGAAUUAUUCUCAAAUCUACCCAUCCUGCCCCAGAUUCUCUGCUGACUUCCAAUUUUUAGUCUCUUUUGCCAUUCAGAAAUCUCAAACUAGAUGUCCAGUAGACAUUUUAAACACAGUUUGUCCAAAAUGAAAUUCAUUAUCUUUCCCCCUAAACCUUCACCUCCUCUUACCUUCUCUAUUACUAUAAAAGGCAACACUAUUCUAUUCUCCAAGUCCCUUAGGCUCACAAUCUAGGGAGUCAUCUUGGAUCCUCAUGAUCUCUCCUCCCCCAUAUUUAAUCUGCUGCUGAGGUCCAACAAUUUCACUUUUCAGUCUCUCAAUGGGCCUCUUAUCUCAUUCAACAUGUCUCCACCCCAGUGUAUCACCUCAUGUUUUGAUUAUUGCCAUAGCCUUUUGGUGGGUCUACCUGCCUGAUGUCUCUCCUCCCUUCAGAUCAUUCUCCAUUCAGUCACUAAAGUGAUUUUCCUAAAGCACAGGUCUAAGCACUUCAUUCUCCCUGAACAACACAGUCCAGUGGUUUUCUUUUGCCUCAAGGAGCAAAUAUAACAUGUCAUUUUUGGUAUUCAAAGCCCUUUAUAACCUCUCAGCCUCCUACCUUUCUAGUCAUUUAUCUCUAUGACACAUCUGUGGCACAUACUCUUCAAUACAGUGACAUUGGUCUCAUGGUUAUUCCAUGAAAAAGACACUCUUAUCUCUUAGCUCCAGGUAUUUCCUCUGGCUAUCCCCCAUGUCUAGAAUGUUCUCCCUCCUCAACUCUGACUACUGACCUCUCUGGCUUUCUUUUCAAUAUUCUACAGGAAUCUUUCCCUAACCCCUAUCAAUACCAGUGCCUUCCCUUUGUUAAUUAUUUCCUAUUAUCCUGCAUAUCCUGCAUAACCUUGCUGUGUAGAUAUUUGCUUGCAUAUUACCUUUUCCAUUAGACUAUAAGCUUCUUGAAGGCAGGGACAUCUUUUGCAUUUUUUUUAUUUCUGAUGCUUUAUACAGUAAAUGGCACAUAGUAGAUUCUUAAUAAAUGUUUUUGGAUUGAUUGAUUUGUUCUUAAUAAAUGUUUUUGGAUUGGUUGAUUUACAGAAGCCACUGGCCUAGGUGAAUAGAAUAUGCAAACAUGGGCUGAAGAAGGAUCAAUUCAUUCAUGCACAGAAAUGCUACUUGAACUAGGACUUGAAAAGAAGGAUUCCGUGUGAAUCAUAAGUGAAGAAGGAGUUCAUGCAGGAGAAGAGAUAUUAGGGAUCACAGCCCAUCCAAAGGCAUGGAAAUGGGAGAUGAAGUUUUAAGUUUUUUAGAACAGAGAGAGAAGACCUGGAUGGUUUAGCUGGAUCACAGAGUGCAAGAGGGGAAAUGAUAUAUACAAUGAGGCUAAAAAGAUAGGUUGAGGAGCAGCUAGGUGACUCAGUGGAUUAAGAGCAAGGUCGAGAGAUGUAACAAACAAAUACAUAAAUAUAAAAAAGAAUAUGAAAUGUCACAAGGGAGCAUAUGAUUAAUUGCCAGAUAAAAGGCAGACCCAAUGGUCUGGAGUGAGGAAUGAUUAGAAGAAGAACAAUUAGGAGGCUCUAGCAAUAAUUCAAGUAAUAAGUAAUCAGGACCUGAAUGAAGAUGGCCACUAUUUAAGCAGAGAGCAGUGGUCAGAUGAGAGGGAUAUUACAGAGGUAGAAAGGACAACAUUCAGAAAAGGGAGAGUGAGUUGGGCACAAAAGCAUGGUUAUAAACUUGGGGAAAUGGUGACUCCUUCAAUAGAAGGAGAGAAGUUUGGGGGGAAAAAGUGGUUGUGGGGUAGGAAAAGGAGAUAAUAAUGGCUAGUAUUUACAUAGCUUUUAGAGAACUGCAAAACUAUUAAUAUCUCAUUUUACCCUUACAACAACUCUGUGUGGUAGGUGCUAUUCAUAUCCCAUGUUACAAAUGAGGAAACUGAGAUAGACAGAGACUAAGUGAUUUAUUUAUCCCAUGGUCACACAGCUAGUAUGAGUCUGACCUAUCUUGCCCCCCAGCUUCUUUGCUAACUUCCAAUCUCACUUCUCUAAUUGCCUUUCAGACCUCUCAAACUAGAUGUUUGAGGAUUUGAAUUUAGGUCUUCCUGAUUCUAGAACUAGCAUUCUAUCCACUGCAAGACUUAGCUGCCUUUAAAUUUCAAAACAAGGUAAUGUGUUUAGUUUUAGAUAUGUUGAAUAUGAGAUGUCUACUAGGUUAAAACUCCAAUAGGCAAUUGAUGUGAUGUGAUGCUGGAUUAAAGUUCAGGAAAGAUAUUGAGGUCAAAUAUACAGAUCAUUCAGGGAGUAAUCUAUAAGGAGAUUAAAAUUAAAUCCAGGAGAAGUACCUGUAAUACCAUUAGUCUCUGAGAAAGAGUUUAGAGAAAGAAGAAUGGGAGAAAGAGCCUUGGAAAACAUCCAUAGUUAGAAGGUAUGAGCUUGAUAAUGAAUUAACAAAAGAAGAGUUAGACAGGUAAAAGACAAACAAAGAAAAAGUAGUGCCAUGAAAGUCUAGACAGGAGAAAGACUCCAAAAAGAGAGGGUCAAUAACAGUGUUUGAUGCAGUCGGAGGUCAAAAAGCAUGAGGACUGGGAAAAAGCAGAUUCGGUCCUUGAGAGAUCUUUGGUAACUGGAGAGAGAAGCUUCAGUGAAGUGACAAAAUCAGAAGUCAAAUUGCAAAAUAUUGAAGAAUAAGGGGGAGGGGGGAGCAGAAGCAGUAAGUAUAGAUAACUUUUCCAAGAAGUUUGGCUAUGAGAAGGAGGAGAAGUAUAGGAUGAUAUAGCUUGAGGGUAUAGUAGAGUUUACAAAAUUUUUUGGUUUUAUUUUUUUAAGGAUUGAGGAGUCUUGGCUGUGUUUAAAUAAAGGCAAUGGGUAAGGAACCAAAUGAUAGGGAGAGUUGAAAUUUAAAUGGAAAGGGGUUGAUUAAAAUUGCUUUCUGAUGGAGAAAAAAGGAGUGAAUAAAAUCAAGUACACAUUAGAAGAGUCAAUCUUGACAAAGAUUGACAAAGAUAUAACAAGAGUUAUAUCAUUCUCAGAGACUGAAAGAAUAGAAACAAUAGUGAGGGAUAAUGUCAAAAGCUUUUGAGAGGAAGAGAAGAGAAGAAAAGAUGGCUUGCACUGAACAACUUCCAUUUUCUUGGUAAAAUAAGAGACCAGUAAUGGGGCUAUGAUUGGGGUUAUAAACCCUGAAUGAUCACGCAAAUAUCGAUAAUAUGGAAAUAGGUCUUGACCAAAGACACAUGUAAAACCCAGUGGAAUUGGAUAUUGGAUAUGGGAGGGGGCUAGAGUGAGGGGAGGGAAAGAACAUGAUUUUUUUUAAUCCUGGGGAAAUGCUCUAAAUUAAUCAAUUAAAUAAAAAUUUAAAAAUAAGAGACCAGGGCCUCAGCUGAGGUGAGUUGUGGAGUGGGAGAAGUGGGGGAGUUUUGAAUAGAGAAGGUUUAGAAAUACUUUUGUGGGGAGUGCCAUAGAGAAUAAUGAAAUAAUAAAAGUUUUGCUUUUUUGCUGCAUUGAGGGUCCCUGAAAUUGAAUAAGAGUUUAUAUUAUAUCUAAUUAUCAUGGUUGUGUAAUUUCUUCUAGAACCAUUCAGCAGCAUAAGUCACAAUGGAGGAGGCAAGUGGUGAAAGUAAUUCAGGGCUGAGGUUUGGCAAAGGAUGAGUGGCAAUAAACAAAAGAAGGAAAGGAGUAUUCUGACUUCCCCUCCAGGGCCAAUGUGUUGAGGCAUAUACAUUAAAGUAAAACCAGUGAUGGAGAGGAUGGCCAGGAAUUAAUAUUAUUAAAGAAUAGGGGGUUGGAGAAGGAAGGAGAGUGUGGAAUAGGUCUUAAUGAGUGCUAGUUGAUGGAAAAACUGUGAAAAGUACAGCAAAGAAAAGUUUGUUUGAGAGGGAACUGCAAUUCCUUCUUCUUAUUCAUUUUUUUGUUUUGAAGACCAAUGGCAUCAUGAUGAGUGAUGUCUUGAUUGGCCUUGUGAAUUGGAUUUUAGUGAGGCAGAGUAGUACAAAAUCAUCAAUCUCACUCUUCUUCCAGAGCUUUCAAAGUCCAGUGGUAGGACAAAAGUCAAGAUGGCUGGUGGGUGGCCCAAGAUGUAGUGGAGCACUGGAAUUAAUAAAAGGACAGGGAGAGAAAUGGGUGGUGGGUGGGAAAUUGUUAACCACAGGGGCAAUAGUGGGUGGUAGAUGAAAAAUUUUAUGAUUCUGUGAACAUGACUUUAGCUGGUUGUAAAUUAACCAGGAAUGAGCAACACUAGGCUACCCAAGGGCCCCUUGUUGCAAUAAUGAAUCAUAAUGGGUAAAAGAUGAUUAGGACCUGGAGUAAGACUGUGUAGGGUGGAUGGGAGAGGAAUGGAUGGAUACAGUUGGUGUCUAAAGGGGAAAAUUCCACCAGGGCCUUACCAAGUAGUCCUCUCUUGGAAGUAUAUAACUGAAAGUCUUGACCCAAUUUCAGGAAGCAUAAGUUGACAUCAGAAUUGAGAUCGGUGGAGUGUCAAUCUAGGAAGAAGGAGCAAAAAGAAGAAGAAGCCUUUUAUCUGACAAGUAAUCAUAUGCUCCCUUGUGACAUCUCAUAUUCUUUUUUAUAUUUAUGAUAUUUGUUUGUUACAUUAAAGUUCUGGUAUCUUCCUCCUUCCUCUUUCA